CUACGGAGGGGGCUAGCGUUGUUCGGAAUUACUGGGCGUAAAGCGCACGUAGGCGGACCAGUCAGUCAGAGGUGAAAUCCCGGGGCUCAACCCCGGAACUGCCUUUGAUACUGCUGGUCUAGAGGUCGAGAGAGGUGAGUGGAAUUCCGAGUGUAGAGGUGAAAUUCGUAGAUAUUCGGAGGAACACCAGUGGCGAAGGCGGCUCACUGGCUCGAUACUGACGCUGAGGUGCGAAAGCGUGGGGAGCAAACAGGAUUAGAAACCCCAGUAGUCC
rnacentral:rRNA from 1 species